rnacentral:rRNA from 1 species
UACAGAGGGGGCAAGCGUUAUUCGGAAUUAUUGGGCGUAAAGGGCGCGUAGGCGGCCUGACAAGUGGAAGGUGAAAUCCCUCGGCUUAACCGAGGAACUGCCCUCCAAACUGUCUGGCUUGAGACCGGGAGAGGUGAGUGGAAUUCCCAGUGUAGCGGUGAAAUGCGUAGAUAUUGGGAGGAACACCAGUGGCGAAGGCGGCUCACUGGACCGGUACUGACGCUGAGGCGCGAAAGCGUGGGGAGCAA